GAUGAACGCUGGCGGCGUGCCUAAUACAUGCAAGUCGAGCGAACAGACGAGGAGCUUGCUCCUCUGACGUUAGCGGCGGACGGGUGAGUAACACGUGGAUAACCUACCUAUAAGACUGGGAUAACUUCGGGAAACCGGAGCUAAUACCGGAUAAUAUAUUGAACCGCAUGGUUCAAUAGUGAAAGACGGUUUUGCUGUCACUUAUAGAUGGAUCCGCGCCGCAUUAGCUAGUUGGUAAGGUAACGGCUUACCAAGGCAACGAUGCGUAGCCGACCUGAGAGGGUGGUCGGCCACACUGGAACUGGGACGCGGUCCAGGCUCCUACGGGAGGCAGCAGUAGGGAAUCUUGCGCAAUGGGCGAAAGCCUGACGGAGCAACGCCGCGUGGGUGAUGAAGGUCUUCGGAUCGUAAAACUCUGUUAUUAGGGAAGAACAAAUGUGUAAGUAACUAUGCACGUCUUGACGGUACCUAAUCAGAAAGCCCCGGCUAACUACGUG
rnacentral:rRNA from 1 species